rnacentral:rRNA from 1 species
CGNUAACGAACGAGCCUUAACCUGCUAAAUAGCCAGGCUAGCUUUGGCUGGUCGCCGGCUUCUUAGAGGGACUAUCGGCUCAAGCCGAUGGAAGUUUGAGGCAAUAACAGGUCUGUGAUGCCCUUAGAUGUUCUGGGCCGCACGCGCGCUACACUGACAGAGCCAACGAGUUUCUUCCUUGUCCGAAAGGUCUGGGUAAUCUUGUCAAACUCUGUCGUGCUGGGGAUAGAGCAUUGCAAUG